rnacentral:lncRNA from 1 species
GAAGUCGAUGUCGCUUCAGGUACCUUUCUCGUAAACAAAUUGCCUGCCCAAAUUUUGUUUGAUUCUGGGGCCAAUUACUCAUUCAUAUCGCAUGAAUUUGGUAGAAAACUAGCUUUCCCGAUAGAUAGACUAGUUAAUUCUAUAAUAGUCGAGAUUGCUAGUGGAAAGUUUGUACCUGUUAGCCAUCGUAUGAAAAACAUCCUCAUUGACUUGGAUGGGAAUAAGUUCCAAGAGGAAUUAUUGCCUAUCGAGUUAAAUGGAUUCGACAUAGUUUUAGGAAUGGAUUGGCUUAGCGCCAACGAUGCAGAAAUAUUAUGUAGAAAGAAGAUAGUAAAAGUAAACCCGCCAGGGAAAGAGUCGUUUAUGGUGUAUGGAGACAAACGCAGAGUAAAUUCUGGAAUCAUUUCCCUAAUGAAAGCCAGAAAGUGUUUGGCCAAGGGAUGUACAUCAUAUCUAGCGUUCGUGAUCGAUGCUAAGAUGGAAAAGAAGGAGGUGCAGAAUAUUCCGGUGGUGUGUGAUUAUCCGGAAGUCUUUCCCGAAGAUCUUCCCGGAUUGCCCCCUGAUCGACAAGUAGAAUUUCGUAUCGACUUGUUACCAGGAAUGACGCCGAUAGCAAAAGCACCAUAUCGAUUAGCACCAACAGAGAUGAAAGAACUUAUGACACAACUUCAGGAGUUAUUGGACAAAGGUUUCAUUCGACCUAGUUCAUCACCCUGGGGAGCCCCUGUGUUAUUUGUAAAGAAGAAAGACGGAAGCAUGAGAAUGUGCAUCGAUUACAGAGAGCUAAACAAAGUGACGAUAAAGAACAAGUACCCGUUGCCGAGGAUCGAUGACCUGUUCGACCAGUUACAAGGUUCGAGCUAUUUCUCGAAGAUCGAUCUUAGGUCGGGAUACCAUCAACUAAAGGUGAGAGAGUAGGAUAUCGAAAAGACUGCGUUUAGAACAAGAUAUGGACACUAUGAAUUUCUGGUUAUGUCGUUCGGACUAACCAAUGCCCCAGCAGCUUUCAUGUAUUUGAUGAAUAGGGUUUGUAAACCAUUGCUAGAUAAAUUCGUGAUAGUAUUCAUAGACGACAUCUUGAUUUAUUUGAAAAGCAAGCAGGAGAAUGAAAAGCAUCUGCGUAAAGUGCUAGAAUCCUGAAAAAGGAGAAGCUGUAUCCAAAGUUCUCCAAAUGUGAAUUUUGGAUUCAAGAAGUCCAAUUUUUAGGUAAUGUGGUUAACCAAGAAGGAAUAAUGGUUGACCCAGCAAAGAUUGAAGUUGUGAUGAAGUCGGAACAACCAAAAAGCCCUACGAAGAUUCGAAGUUUUUUAGGAUUAGCUGGAUAUUACCAAAGGUUUAUCCAAGGAUUUUCUUCGAUUGCUACUCCAUUAACAGCUUUCACCCCACAAAAGAGCUACUUAUGCUUGGAAUGAGAAGCAUAAGGAAGCCUUUGAGAAGUUGAAGAAAAGAUUGUGUGAAGCACCGAUUCUUUCGUUUCCUAAAUGAGUCGAUGACUUCGCAGUUUAUAGCAAUGCAUCUGGAGUUGGGUUAGGUUGUGUUNAAGGGAUAAAGUGAUCGCGUAUGCAUCGAGGCAAUUGAAGGAACAUGAAAAGAACUACCCCACUCAUGAUCUGGAGUUGGCAGCGGUAGUAUUCGCCCUAAAGAUAUGGAGGCAUUAUCUUUAUGGCACAAAGUGUAAACUUUUCAAUGAUCAUAAGAGUCUCCAAUAUCGCUUUAAUCAUAAAGAAUUGAACAUGAGGCAACGACGCUGGCUAGAGUUUCUCAAGGACUAUGACUGUGAGAUACUUUACCACCGUGGUAAAGCAAAUGUUGUUGGUGAUGCUCUCAGUCGGAAAGUAAACCUUGAAAAGAAAAGGCCAAAAGCGUUAAGAAUUGAAGUUGUCUCGAAAAUUGUGGAAAGUAUAAAGAAAGCUCAAGAGGAAGCUUUAGAGAAAAAUGACCGAAAGGAAGAACGUUUGGGCAAAACGUUAGUGUUCGGUACAAACAACCAAGGGUUGAAGGUAUUUCAAGAUAGAAUUUGGGUACCUAAGACGGGCGGAAUAAGAGAUCUUCUGAUGGAAGAAGCUCACAAGACCAUGUACUCAAUUCAUCCCGGCAGUACGAAAAUGUAUAGGGAUCUAAAACCCUAUUAUUGGUGGCCGACGAUGAAGCUCGAUGUUGCUAAGUAUGUGGCCGAGUGUGUAACUUGUGCUAGGGUUAAGGCACAACAUCAGAAACCGUAUGGGAGUUUAGAACCUUUACCCGUACCCAUGGGUAAAUGGGAAGACAUCACCAUGGAUUUUGUGACUAAACUGCCCAGAACAAGGAACGGUCACGACAUGAUUUGGGUGGUCGUUGAUCGCUUCACUAAGAGUGCGCAUUUCAUAGCGGCCAAAGAGAAAUGGUCUAUGGAUAAACUUGCGAAUUCUUACGUGAAGGAAAUUGUGAGGCUUCACGGUGUUCCGUUAACGAUUGUGUCCGAUCGUGACAGCCGUUUUACCUCAAGGUUUUGGAGGAGUCUACAAGAGGAAUUGGGUACCAAGUUGUGUUUGAGUACAGCUUACCAUCCGCAAACCGAUGGUCAGAGCGAGCGAACGAUUCAAACAUUGGAGGAUAUGCUGAGAGCAUGUACCCUAGAAUUCCAAGGUAACUGGGAUGAACACUUACCUUUAGUAGAAUUCUCCUAUAAUAAUAGUUUCCACUCAAGCAUUAAGAUGGCACCUUAUCACGCUUUGUAUGGGGAGAAGUGUCGAACGCCAUCAUGUUGGCUGGAAGCUGGGGAAAAGCAGUUUAUGGGACCUGAAAUAGUCCAUGAGACUGCUGAAAAGUUGAAAGUGAUAAGGGAAAGGAUGUUAGCUGCUCAAGAUCGACAAAAGAGUUAUGCUGACAAGAAAAGACAACCGAUAUCCUUCGAUGUUGGAGAUUCGGUUUUACUUAAAGUCUCGCCGUGGAAGGGACUUAUAAGAUUUGGUAAGAGAGGGAAGUUGAGUCCAAGGUUUAUUGGACCAUUUAAAGUUCUUCAGAGGAUCGGGAAUCAAGCUUACAAGCUAGAGUUACCGGAAGAACUAGAGGGUAUUCAUAACACCUUUCAUGUGUGUUAUUUGAGAAAGUUCACAGGAGAUGUGCCCGACAUAAUUCCGAUUUCUGAGUUAAGGUUGGAUGAAAACAAGAGGUUGAUCGAAGAACCUGAGGCAAUCGUUGACCGUAAGACUAUGAAGUUACGACGCAAGAUGGUCGAUUUAGUGCUUGUGCGCUGGAAACAUACGAAUGGACCAAAUCUCACUUGGGAAACGGAGAGUGACAUGAUGAGUCGCUACCCGCAGUUGUUUGGUGAUAUGUGAUUCCGGGGACGGAAUCAUCCUAAGGGGGAGAAAAUUGUAACACUCGUGUUUCUAGCCUAGGCAUUUAUAUUGAGUUGAUAGUCUAGGUUAACCUUUGUAACUCAUUUUGAAGAAAUGAAAAGGAAUUAUGUGAAUAUUAUGUGAAUUAUGUGUUUUAUGCUUAAUUAUUAGGGCUUAAUUAAUUAAGAAUAAAAAUAAGCGUCAAAAUUAAAGUGUGAGAUAAGCCCGAUAUCUUUACAUAAAGUUGUAGUGGUCGAAACAAGGAUUUCGGGGAUAUAAAGAAUACCAAAAUCCGAGUUAUAACGAAGAAGUUAUGACCUAUCGAAGUUUCGCGACAAAACCGGCACGGUGCUGAAUGUCGUAAAAAGUGAGUUUUUGAUAAACUACUUUUUAGCCUUAGUAAUCUAAACGAAAGUUGUAGUAUUCGUUAAACCGAGAAGUUCGAUAAAAAGAACGCCCAAAUCUGACUUCGUAUGAGGAAGUUAUGAUUUUUCGAAGUUUCAGCGUAGCAGUAGACAGCUAAAAACUCGAAUUUUAGAUCGAGCGAUUUUUAGCCGACACAACCUAAACGAGAAUUGAAGGUCUCGUCAUUAGGAGCACAACGGUAAAAAGUCUGACGAAAACGGACGUCGGAUGAAGAAGUUAUGAAUUUUUAACGGAUUUCCUGUCCCGGUCUGUUAAAAAUAAUAAUAUAAAAAUUAAAGUCAAAAUUAGCCGACGAAGUCUAAACGGAAGUUGUAGAUCGUAAUUUUAGCUACGCGUGCAUAUAAAGAACGUCAAAAACGGAGCUCGUAUGCGAAAGUUAUGGAUUUUAGAAGUUUUGGCACGAAAACCGAGAAAUUUCGCAUAGUCACAAUUGCCACGUCACCCUCGCUUAGAAAGUGACACGUGUCCUGCUGAGUCACCUGGCUGCUGAGUCAUUAGGCUGCUGAGUCACCGAGGCUGCUGAGUCAUGCGAGCCACGUGUCCUCUUCUGAUUCGACCGAGGAGGAGGCCCAAUCCGAAGCAGCCAGCUCCCCAGCCGAAGCUUCGCCCAGCUGCCGCGUGUGUCCGAGCCUCGCAUAGCCUAGCUCCGAGCCUCGCAGGUGCGCCAGCAAGCCGCGGUCCACUUAGAAGCCGACAGCGAGCCCUCGCAUGUGCGAGCCAUGUGCGAGACCCCCCCUGCGAAGCCUCUUAGCCGUCGGAUCAGGAGACUUCUCAGCCGUUGGAUCAAACUUCGGACCCUAUAAAUAGAAGGGUACCUGCGAGGGUUUCCGGUUACUUUUGGAAUUUAGCCAUUUUUAGCCCCUCUCUCCAUAUUUUCUUCAUCUUAACAUCCCGCAAAGCCCCGGUAUCAAUUGUAAAGCCCGGAAUACCCCACGAAGUGCCCGAGAAGCCCGGAAAAUUUAUCUUUUCGGUUUCGAAGCCCGACUUUUGCAGAGCCCGGUUUCUCAAUAAAACUCCCGGUUUUAUUAGAAACGAUCGUUUUAGGAAACGAAUUGCUGCCCGAUUUUCACCAAAAUAAGUGAGUGUGUAGUUACUUUCAAUUUACACAUAGAUAUGAAGUAUUUACCUUGAAAUACGUGUUAUGUGUAAAUAUGCUAAUUGUUUAUUCGAGGUGACUGUUGAAUUGAUGUUUUAUACAAGUUUUAAACUGUAUAUGCUUUUUAUCUACAAAAUAUGUUGGGUAGAACAUGGGUAGAUGAAAUAGUUGAUGUGUGUUAAAAUGGUGAGAGGCCUCGAUGUCGAUGUUGUGUUGUUGUUGUAGUCAUCUAGCGAAGUAUAGAUGACGACCACGGACUUUCUAGAUAGUCCAGUGGAACACUAGCAGGUUCGCAACUUGUAGGUGUUGAUGAAUUAAAUGUUCAUUGGCGUACUUCAUCCCCCUCAUGGUUGCCUUAAGGACAUGUAUGGCUGAGGAAACCCCUUAGCAGUAGUGUCCAUCCCGAUGAUAAUCCUUAGGCUAGGUCCCUUGUGAUAGGUGUUUAGGGACGUAAAGUGAGGACAACGGGAAUGGGUAAUCAGGGUUAUUGUUGAUUGGUGAACUUAAUAAGUAUAUUAUUAUUGUGGGUUGAAAACCCUAUAUGCUCACCAGGCUCCCAAGCCUGACCCACUCAGUUUUAUGAUUACAGGUAGUGGACCCCGAGCAUAGUCGGAGGAUGACGAGAGAUUUUUGGAUUAUAGGCCAGUAGUUGUAAAUAACUGUUGAAAGGCUUAUAAUGUCUUGUUUAUGCUUUUGAUCUGUAUCGGAACAUGACAUCCCGAGGUUUUGAUAUAUAUAUGGAAAAUAUAUACCUUCUUAAUGAAGGAUUUUGAUAAACUUUUAUCAUAUAUUGUUUGGGGACCAAUUCCGCAAUAUCUUAUAAAAAGAUUUCUCUGAUUUUAUUUUAAAAAGCAUAAAUUAAAUCGGUCUUUUCUGGCCGAGAAAUAUGGGGAUGUCACAGUUGGUAUCAGAGCAUUAGUUUAAGCGAACUAAGAAAUUGUAGAAUUUCUAGACUUGAACUUAGAAUGCUAAGUGAUGAUUGUGAGAUGAGUGUCUACCAUAUUUUAGACACGAGCACUAGUUUAUUUUAGGGAAGAUGCCUAAAAUGCCCUUAUGUGCUAAAUGCUAUGUGUUUGCCAUGUGUGCCAUUAUUUGUUCGGAUCUAUGGUCUGUUGCCGACCGGAUCUGGAAACCUUAUGUGUGUAGGAUUCUAAGUGUAUGAAUACGAGAUUAGAACUAACAUGUAAACGUUUCGGAGUGAUAAGGGAAUUGACAUGUCUAACAAGGAUAAAGACCUAAAUUUCGCCUUAUUCGGUAUAUAGAUUGUAAUGGCAAGAACUCGGAGUGGAGCUGGAAAUGCAAACAGAAACCAACAACCUCAACCUCCAGUGGUGGAACAGGUGCCUAUAGUAGGAGCUGCACCCGAACCCAUCACCAUGGCUGGAGUACGAACUAUGAUUCAGGCCAUGUUGGCUGAACAGAGGGAGGAAUUGAGGCAAAUGUUGCUGAACGACAGGGAUGAACCUUCAGUUCCUGUUGAACAACGUGAACUAAAUGACGAUCGAUCUGAAGAAGGGAACAAUAGCAGAUCGGUUGGUCAUAGUGAACCGCUUGUGGUUGGGAGGAAUAACCACGAGGGUAGAGUGGAGAGAAAUGGGUGCAAGUAUAAGGACUUUAUGACUUGCAAGCCAUCGACCUUCAAUGGAAAAGAAGAUCCUGUCGGAGUAAUGGACUGGAUCUCGGAAAUGGAGUUGGCUUUCAUGACUUGUGAUUGCCAAGGCAAGUUACAAACUACGUUUGCAGUACGUCAGUUCAGGGGUAGUGCUGCCCGUUGGUGGAGCACUUUGGGGAAAACCCUAAGCCCUAAUGAGCCACUGCAAUUAACUUGGGCAGAGUUCUUAGUGCACUUCAAGCGCAAGUACUGCUCGGCCCAAAACGUACUUGAGUUAGAAAACCAAUUUCUAACGUUGCAGAAGGGGAGUAUGACCGUUGACGAAUAUACAAAUAACUUCACAGACAAAAUGGAGUUUGCUUUGCGUAUUGUCCCAGAUGAGUUGGCAAAAAUAGACAGGUACGCAAAGGGACUUCCAUGGGAGUAUGCGGUGCCAGUACGUCAGGCACUUACUUUGGAGGCAGCUAUCUGGGCUGCCAAGUCUGUUGAAGAUAUGAUAAAAGGGAGAGCCGCCAGCAAGGUUGAAGUUGGCGAAAAGAGAAAGUUUGAAGGAACUUCAGGUUCCAAUAAAAAGAACAAAUUCUCGAAGACUGGUUCGAGAAAGUUUGGAGGAGGAAGCGAAGCCAAGUGGUGUGACAAGUGUAGGAAGAAACAUGCUGGGAAGUGCAGCGUGGAAGUCACUUGUUACAAAUGUGGAAAGCCAGGGCAUUAUGCCAAUGAAUGCACCUUCAAUAAGAACGUAUGUUUUGGGUGCAAUGAAGAAGGGCAUAUUUUGAGGGACUGCCCGAAGAAGAAGGAUGCAGCAAAACCCAAUCUACCACCAAAGCCGAAGGCGAGAGCCUUUCAGAUGACCCUCGAAGCUGCGAAAGAAGAAGCCGAUGUUGCUUCAGGUACCUUUCUCGUAAACGAAUUGCCUGCCCAAAUUUUGUUUGAUUCUGGAGCCAAUUACUCCUUUAUAUCGCAUGAAUUUGGUAGAAAGCUAGCUUUGCCUGUAGAUAUGCUAGUUAAUGCUAUAAUAGUCGAGAUUGCUAGUGGCAAGUUUGUACCUGUUAGCCAUCGUAUGAAAAACAUCCUCAUUGACUUGGAUGGGAAUAAGUUCCAAGAGGAAUUAUUGCCUAUCGAGUUAAAUGGAUUCGACAUAGUUUUAGGAAUGGAUUGGCUUAGCGCCAAUGAUGCAGAAAUACUAUGUAGAAAGAAGAUAGUAAAAGUAAACCCACCAGGGAAAGAGUCGUUUAUGGUGUACGGAGACAAACGCAGAGUAAACUCUGGAAUCAUUUCCCUAAUGAAAGCCAGAAAGUGUUUGGCCAAGGGAUGUACAUCAUAUCUAGCAUUCGUGAUCGAUGCCAAGAUGGAAAAGAAGGAGGUGCAGAAUAUUCCGGUGGUGUGUGAUUAUCCGGAAGUCUUUCCCGAAGAUCUUCCCGGAUUGCCCCCUGAUCGACAAGUAGAAUUUCGUAUCGACUUGUUACCAGGAACGACGCCGAUAGCGAAAGCACCUUAUCGAUUAGCGCCAACCGAAAUGAAAGAACUUAUGACACAACUUCAGGAGUUAUUGGACAAAGGUUUCAUUCGACCUAGUUCAUCACCCUGGGGAGCCCCUGUGUUAUUUGUAAAGAAGAAAGACGGAAGCAUGAGAAUGUGCAUCGAUUACAGAGAGCUGAACAAAGUGACGAUAAAGAACAAGUACCCGUUGCCAAGGAUCGAUGACUUGUUCGACCAGUUGCAGGGUUCGAGCUA